CGAAACUUAUUUACACCGAGUCUGUGACCACAAAAAGAAAAGAAGGAAUAAAGGAGGGGAAAGGAAAAAAAAAAAGCAAGAGUUAUGUUUGUUGUUGGCUUCAAUCAUUUUCGGAGACGGGUCCCACCUACUGACAUAUUUUUUGCUAUUGACCGGAAUUCCACUAGUUUAAUAAUUGAUGGAAGGUGCCUUCCUCAUAAGGUCACCUUCAUACAGGUG
rnacentral:misc_RNA from 1 species